AGCUGAGGCACAUGCCUUGGGAGCUAAGUGGUUGCUGCCCUUGACCACUAUGAAGACCGGUGUGGGAAUGUGGGAAGGGUCGCUUUGGAUGCACUUGAGCAGGGGUCCCCAACCCCUGAGCCAUGGAGCCGUAAGGAGCCACACAGCAGGAGGUGGGACCAUCCAGUUGCAGGAAAACAAGCUUAACACGCCCACUGAUUCUACAUUAUGCUCCUACCUCCCAGCAGCCUCUCCAGGCCCAGAACUUUCUCCAGUCAGCCUCUACAGACCAAGCUCAUGACUCACAAUGGCCUAUUUAGGCCCAUACCCUACCUCACGGCAGUCUCCGCAGAUGAGCCUACUGCCUCACAACAGCCUCCACAGGCACAGCUCCAUCGUUACAAUGGCCUCUUUAGACCCAGCUCCUGCCUCCCAGCCUUCUCUCCAGGCCCUGAACUUUCUCAAGUCGACCUCACCAGGCCCAGCUCAUGCUUCUUUGCAGCCUCUCCAGGCCCAGCUCCUGCAUCUUGGUGGCACCUCCAGGCCCAGCCUCUGCCUCCCGUCGGCCUCUACAAUCCCAACAUCUGCCUCACAGCAGAUUCUUCAGGCCC